ensembl:lncRNA
GGCUCCGACGCCGGCUCCCUCAGCUCCCUUGACUCCUGCGGGCUGGCCGACUUCGGGCCCGAGCCGCCGGCGGGCCGGCCCAGACCCUUUGUGGUCCCGCUGACGCCCUGGUACGGGUCGGAGGAGGACACCUUCUGAAGGCCCCACAGGUGGAGAGUCUGUCUUUGUGUGUGUUUGACUUUGAUUACGAUCGCAGACUUCCCUAAAGACCUUGUUUCAUCUGGAGUUGAGUGAACACUAUGAGAUUGAAUAAAUGAGGACUGAGAGAUCUUUGGAGGGGGGGCGGCGUGUGACGACCCAUUGCAACUUUGUGAUACUUUUUCGUACCGUCGUUGGGUAUGAGUGAUGUAGUGAGCGAUGUUGGGUAUCAAAUGCACCAGUCACUGUAGUGUUACACUGGGAAGCUUAACCCCCUAGCGUUCUACUAUCGUGGGCCGGGAAGCCCAACCAUCUCUAGGACGCAUAAACCAUCAAAAUCAACGUCUUAUUUCAGAACAACCCUCCAUACAUCCGCAUUCACACAAACCAAGGCGUUGUACAAUUAGUGUCUUAACCCUCUCUCAGUCAGCCCUUACAGAGCUCAACACACCCACACACACAUCGCCGCUGUCGUACCUCGGUCGUACCUUGGUCGGGACGUCGAUGAGUUUACACCUCAGCGUCACAAAAAGACGUGCGUUACCUAGGUCUGAAUAAGAGUGGGGUUAUCAGGUAGUCUUUAAGGUAGGCAUAAACAUAGGAUUUUACCAGUUUUCUCUAAAAUAAAGUCUUGUUUUUAGGAACUGAGAUAAAAUGGCAUGGACUACCUUGUUCAUGAUCCCCAUAAAAACUAAGUUGGAAGAAAGAAAACGUUGCUGUCUUUACUAGCCCUUUAAGGACAGUGGGUAACAACUCCAAAACUCAAACUAAUAAUAGAACACUGGUCAGGGAUCCCUUGUCCAGUGAACUCUGCCGGUGUGAUAGGUGAGGGGUGGAUGGGCAUGAUCGUAAAAACGCCGAGACAUAUUGUCUGUUCAAUGUCUCCGAUCAUCAUGUGAUCGAUCGAUCGAUCAAUACAUUCUUAGAAACCCUCUCUGCUACUCUCUGUAGCUUCCGUCAUCAGCAGAAAAUAGAUCCAAGCACUCUGUUAAUACACUGAACACAAAGGUACACUAACCAGGCUGUAGGACUUGCAGUAUUUCGUGUUGUAAGCAUUUUAUACUAUUAUGCAUACUAUUAUAUAUAAUAUUUUUGUUGACGUAUUUUGUGUAACAAAUUUUACAGUCUAUACAUUUGUAUGAAAAUGAAUAAUAUUUCAACCAACCUUUUGGUGUCUGCCUGUGUCUAGCGAUGGUUUGGGAAGUGAUCUUGUUAUGGCAGCCAUUUACAGAGUGAACAACCAGGCUUCAAUAGAUGUUGAAUUGAUUAGCGUUUUAUUAAUGCAGUUUAAUCAUUCAUGAAUGCAAAAAGAGAUUUUUCCAUUAAUGUAGUUGAAUGAAAUUCAGUCUUUUGAGUCAAAGGGCUGAACACAUUUCGUCUUCAAGGACACCCACAAUCAUUUAACUCAUGUGUAUUUAUGUUUUAUUGGGAGAUUUUAUUGGACUGAUACCAACGCAAGCCC